rnacentral:lncRNA from 1 species
CAUGUAGACGACGUCAUUUUUCAAGAAAAAUCCAGGAGCAGUUGAACGUCUGCUUGAAGAAGAAACCGGUCGGUCGAAAACUCGAUCUCUGUGAACAACGAAAGAAUAACAUUCUGUUUCUCUCAUCUGAUGGACCAGUUGUGUUAUCGACGUUAUCGUGCAGCUUGUUAAUUAUACAAGCCGUGUACUUUCUCCAUUCUGACCGCUAGCAUCAGCUGUCUUCACUCUCCAUCUCUACGACUUUAGCUGAAGGUCAAACGUCUCCAUUGUAUAUUUCUGCUAAAACUGAAGAUCAACAGUCUACACUUUCUUUCACCUUCAUCUAAGGGGGCUCACCGAAGUGUUGUAGUCUGUAAUUCCAUUUUCGUCGUACAUAUGCGGAGGACUGCAAGAGAAAGAGUAAGACAGUAACAGAGUAUUUGGAAGUUGCCAGCUUCCUUCUACCCAGAAACAGCAAACAGUACACAUCGUCCAUGGAUUCUAGACUGUGUUUGUGUCUAGCUUAUUGAGAUUGCCGACAUCAUCUGACAAAGGGAAGGCAAUGUCCACCAAAAAAAAAAAAAAAAGUUGGUGUUGAUAAGAGCUCAAGUUCUCAGCUGCAUGGCCAUCAUCUUGCCAAUGCAGGAACUGCAGUUACUGUUCUCAAGUCCAUACAACAGGCCAUGGUGAUUUUGACACAAUCAGUAUAACAGAACCCAGCCCCUCUCUACAUCUCAGUGACAUGUCUGCAAGUUUUAUAUCAGGCUCUGCUGUCAGUGGCGCGUCUUCCAUUUCCAUCUGUCUCUUCGCUUUUGCAAGUGGCACUCACCCUCUUCCAUCAGGGCUUGCUGGAUCCUGACUAUCAGGUGGUCUCUGAAUUCCGAGAUGUGAAGGUCUCCAUCCAGCUGCUCCAACCAUCCAUGGCCUGGUUAUCAGCUGUGUCUGCACUCUUGAUAUUUCAAGCACCACCACCCAAUCAACGUCAAAGUUUUCAACUUCAGAGCCAGUUACCCAUGCUGGCAUGCAGACGAAAUAUUCAACCAGUGUUAGUCAUGCUGACACUUUCUUUUCUUCUGAAAAACUUGUGCCUGACAGUUUAAGCCCUCCAUCUGCUUCAAAGAACAUUGUUUCAUUGUCAAGCAGUCUGGAGCUGAAGGAUCCUGCUGUUGCGUUUUCUACAAACAAUGACAUACAAGAGCACUCUGGGCAUAAAAGAAAGGUAAGAUCAGAUAGUGAUGACGAUCAUAAGGCCUUGAUUUCAUCAACAGCGACAACAGGAGGGAGCAUGAUAGUGAUAAAAAUGAGCACAGAAAUUUAAUAUCCGAUGUGGCGAAUACAAACCUCGUUGUCAAAAAAGGGAGACCUCAUUCUUCAAAUAAUUACUGUUAAAAAUGGUUAAUGCUAAAAAGAAGGCUGAUAUAAGUGAUAUCAGUAACAAAGACAACACUAGAAAGUGUGAUACAAAAUCCAUGAAAUUUGUGGACAGAGGAUGUUAGUGCAGUUUCCACGAGAAGUGACAGUCUCCAGAAGCAAGUAACAGGCAACUUUAAGUUGACUUUAUUAACUCACCAUGAAUAUUGCUUAGACGAGUCAAACAUCAAGCUUGUUACUUUUCUCCUACAAUUUGUGCCUUCCAACUUUUCUCUCAGAUGGAUAUGAAACUGAAAGCACAGAAAAUUGUCAUGCAACCACUUGUCAAAACUUAGGCUAACCAUUUCCCCCUCCUUAAAAAUAUAUAAAUAACAUUUUAACAUAAUUAUCGCCUCUAUAUAUAUAUAUUUCUCUGUUCACUGGGCUCACAAGUACAAAAGUUAUAUUCCACACAACUUGGCCAAGAGAGAACAUCGACAGGAAAGUAGCCCUCUACUCACCCAGCGGCUCGUG